UACGUAGGGUGCGAGCGUUAAUCGGAAUUACUGGGCGUAAGCGUGCGCAGGCGGUUCGUUGUGUCGGCGGUGAAAGCCCCGGGCUUAACCUGGGAAUGCCGUUGAAACUGGCGAACUGGAGUGUGGCAGAGGGGGUGGAAUUCCGCGUGUAGCAGUGAAAUGCGUAGAGAUGCGGAGGAACACCGAUGGCGAAGGCAGCC
rnacentral:rRNA from 1 species